rnacentral:rRNA from 1 species
GACGGGGCCCGCACAAGCGGUGGAGUAUGUGGUUUAAUUCGAUGCAACGCGAAGAACCUUACCUGGUCUUGACAUCCCGGAGACCCUUAGGAAACUAGGGGUGCUUCCAUCUGGAAGAAUCUGGAGACAGGUGCUGCAUGGCUGUCGUCAGCUCGUGUCGUGAGAUGUUGGGUUAAGUCCCGCAACGAGCGCAACCCUUGCCUUUAGUUGCCAGCAGUUCGGCUGGGCACUCUAAAGGGACUGCCGGUGUUAAACCGGAGGAAGGUGGGGAUGACGUCAAGUCCUCAUGGCCCUUAUGACCAGGGCUACACACGUACUACAAUGGCCGAUACAAAGGGCAGCGACACUGCGAGGUGAAGCCAAUCCCGUAAAAUCGGUCUCAGUCCGGAUUGGAGUCUGCAACUCGACUCCAUGAAGUUGGAAUCGCUAGUAAUCGUGGAUCAGCAUGCCACGGUGAAUACGUUCCCGGGCCUU